rnacentral:rRNA from 1 species
GACGUAGGGCGCGAGCGUUGUCCGGAUUUAUUGGGCGUAAAGAGCUCGUAGGUGGCCUGUCGCGUCGGCUGUGAAAACCUGGGGCUCAACCCCGGGCCUGCAGCCGAUACGGGCAAACUAGAAUUCGGUAGGGGAGACUGGAAUUCCUGGUGUAGCGGUGAAAUGCGCAGAUAUCAGGAGGAACACCGGUGGCGAAGGCGGGUCUCUGGGCCGAUAUUGACGCUGAGGAGCGAAAGCGUGGGGAGCAAACAGG